rnacentral:rRNA from 1 species
UGGGGAAUAUUGCACAAUGGGCGCAAGCCUGAUGCAGCCAUGCCGCGUGUGUGAAGAAGGCCUUCGGGUUGUAAAGCACUUUCAGCGAGGAGGAAGGUGGUGAGCUUAAUACGCUCAUCAAUUGACGUUACUCGCAGAAGAAGCACCGGCUAACUCCGUGCCAGCAGCCGCGGUAAUACGGAGGGUGCAAGCGUUAAUCGGAAUUACUGGGCGUAAAGCGCACGCAGGCGGUUUGUUAAGUCAGAUGUGAAAUCCCCGGGCUCAACCUGGGAACUGCAUUUGAAACUGGCAAGCUAGAGUCUCGUAGAGGGGGGUAGAAUUCCAGGUGUAGCGGUGAAAUGCGUAGAGAUCUGGAGGAAUACCGGUGGCGAAGGCGGCCCCCUGGACGAAGACUGACGCUCAGGUGCGAAAGCGUGGGGCAGCAAACAGGAUUAGAUACCCUGGUAGUCCACGCUGUAAACGAUGUCGAUUUUGGAGGUUGUGCCCUUGAGGCGUGGCUUCCGGAGCUAACGCGUUAAAUCGACCGCCUGGGGGAGUACGGCCGCAAGGUUAAAACUU